AUAAGAUCAUGUCCAUUAUUUAGGCAUCAUUUGAUACCAAAGAGUUAAAACAAAAAAAAAAUGUCCAAUUGCUAAUACCUUCUCCCAGAUUCAGGGAUAGACAAAAAGAAGAUGACCUUCAUAUUUCCUGACCACAUCCACUUCCACACUUUCCAUUCUUGCAACUGCCAUCUGAAUUGAGCUUGACAAAACCAGUAGAUGGCUUCAUCCAUUUUACCAGAACAAUCCUUAUAGCAUUUAGAUUACUUCCCAUAAGUUGUACAAUGUUGUCCCAAGUUGGCCUAACCUGAACUCUGAAUGUUGGGUCCAUGUGGCCCAUGGUUCUUAUGCCCGUCAUGUUAGCUCACCAUUUCCAUCACUCCCUGCUUUUGUAGCUACAAUCUUAGGCAUGCCAUCUACUUUGUAAUACGUCCUCCGCUACCCUAUCUCUGUCUCUCUGUACGCAAUAAAGAUUAUGGAGAAACACAACCAUUUUCUAUCUGAUGUGCCCUUUGUAGUUCGUAACCACACACUGCUACUACUAGCUUGUCUAUAUGAUUUUUAUUUUCUAGUUAAUUGUAGCUUCCGUAUAAACUUGGUACACUUGUCUCUGUUUUAGCCACAAACAUCCAUUUUUGCAGUUGAUUUUAGUGUUUUAUCUAUGGUUUUAGUCAGUCUCUAAAUCCAUUUCUUCUUGGUAGUGGCUGCCCAACCUGAUUGGAUCCUUUCUGUCCGAUUUGUGGCUCGUAACAA